UGGCUUGCGAGCUCCCUGCUUAACAGAAGGCUCAGUUGCCCAAGUGACGAAGGCAUUGUGGGGCACGAACCAGGCUUUGGUGAAUUUAUCUCAUUAUACACCAGGAGUUAUAAUUUAAAAACCAGUGUCAUAUAAAGAAGAAAAAAGAUAUGGUGAGAUACAAUACCAUUAACACUUCUUCAGAAACGGAUUUUAAAGCAGAACUUCCAUGACUGUGAAAUCCAACCGGGUGCGCGACCACGAGGAAGGAUGGCGAGGGAGGAAACCGCGCUUUGUUGUUGAGGUGAACCGGGUGCGCGACCAUGAGGAAGGAUGGCGAGGGAGGAAACCGCGCUUUGUUGGUGACGUGAGCUUCACAUUCAGCGACCCGUUAGAAUUCGUUCUGAUGAGCAGGAUUCUUUCACAGCGUUACAUGAAGAGUGGGGCGAUUGUACUUUGUGUUUCCUUUAGUUCUAGAGAAGAGUGAUUUUUUUUGUAUUUGAAAUAAGUAAAGAUUAUAUUACGUUGAAAUGAGCAUAAUGCAGAAAAGAAGGCACUGAAUUUAUACUUAAAUCAUGGUCUGGGGCCUAAAAUGCUUGCUCAAAUAACGUAGCUCCAGUGCGUUUGAGGGUGUAUACGUUUGAGAGAGAGUGUGUGUGUGUUUGAGCCUGUGUGUUUUAGUGUGUGUGAGAGAGUGUUUGUGUUUGAGCCUGUGUAUUUUACUGUGUGUUUGUGUGUGUGUGUGGGAGCCUGUGUGUUUUAGUGUGUGAGUGUGUUUGAGCUUGGGUGGGUAUGUAUAUUUGGGCGUGUGUUUGAGCCUGUGUGUUUGAGUGUGCGUGUGUUUGAGCAGGUGUGUGUUUGUGUGUGUGUUUGUGCAGGUGUGUGUCUGAGCCUGUGUGUUUAUUGUGUGUGUUUGAGCAUGUGUGUGUUUGAGUGUGUGUGUUUGAGCGUGUGUGUGUUUGAGCAAAUGUGUGUCUGAGCCUGUGUGUUUGUGUGUGUAAGCCUGUGUGCGUCUGAACGUGUGUACACUGGAGGUGGUUCCCUGAGUUUACGAUCCCUCAUUGGCUUAUACUGUUAAACAGACAAGCAGCUA
rnacentral:lncRNA from 1 species